rnacentral:rRNA from 1 species
CCCGCUGAACUUAAGCAUAUCAAUAAGCGGAGGAAAAGAAACCAACAGGGAUUGCCUCAGUAACGGCGAGUGAAGCGGCAACAGCUCAAAUUUGAAAUCUGGCUCUUUCAGGGUCCGAGUUGUAAUUUGUAGAAGAUGCUUCGGGUGUGGCCCCGGUCUAAGUUCCUUGGAACAGGACGUCAUAGAGGGUGAGAAUCCCGUAUGUGACUGGGUGCCUAUGCUCAUGUGAAGCUCUUUCGACGAGUCGAGUUGUUUGGGAAUGCAGCUCUAAAUGGGUGGUAAAUUUCAUCUAAAGCUAAAUAUUGGCCAGAGACCGAUAGCGCACAAGUAGAGUGAUCGAAAGAUGAAAAGCACUUUGGAAAGAGAGUUCAACAGUACGUGAAAUUGUUGAAAGGGAAGCGCUUGCAACCAGACUUGCACGCUGUCGAUCAUCCGAGAUUUUUCCCGGUGCACUCGACUGCGUUCAGGCCAGCAUCGGUUUCGGUGGUUGGAUAAAGGCCUUGGGAAUGUGGCUCCUCUCGGGGAGUGUUAUAGCCCUCGGUGCAAUGCAGCCUACCGGGACCGAGGACCGCGCUUCGGCUAGGAUGCUGGCGUAAUGGUUGUAAGCGACCCGUCUUGAAACACGG